UGUCAGCGGACUGAAAAAUAUCUCUAUUUUUCCCUUUGCAACAAAAAGCAAAAGCCAGCUUUUGAAAGACUAUUUUAAAAGUAGAAAAGCUUCAGGCUUCUGAGGCUUCAUCUUCCAAAAUUUUAAUGAUGGCUCAUAAAAGCUAGUAUUCUGCAGAGAAACAGUACAAUUUCUGUCUUGCAUUCUUCUAAAAGCACUGGGGAGGAAGUGCUGCUGCUUCAUACUGAAAUCCUGUCUAGUGGACAGAAAGUUUUCCAGGAGCAGUGUGGCUGUGUUUCUCCGGAUGACCUGUGGUUCCAGGUUCUUCCUGAAGAAAAAUUCUAAGUUAUUAAUCAGAUUGGAAGAUUUUAUGGUAAACUGCAAAGGACAAAGAGAAUUGCUCCACCAAGGCCAGAAAUUGAGCCCGCAUGAAGUAGCUGAAUGGCUGUGAUAUAUGUCCCAUAGAAAACUGGCA